rnacentral:tRNA from 1 species
AUUCUUCUAGUAUAAUAUAUUACAAUUGACUUCCACUCAAUUAAUCUUGCUCCAAGGAAGAAUA